GGCUCGGUAGUGGAAGGCCCACACCUCCCAAUGAUAAAUCUGAUACAAGACAUCUAAUUGGUCUGGAGGAGCCGCCCGUUCGACUCGGGUCCGAGCCA